GCCUAACCAUAACACAACAAUAAAAUCACAUAUUGUUCGCCAAAUAACUACGAGUAAAAACUUAAAAUUUAAAAGACUUGACGGUACCCCACAACAACCUAGAGGAGCCUGUUCAGUAACCGAUACUCCACGAUUAAUCCAACCUUCCCUAGCCUACCAGUCUAUAUACCGCCGUCGCCAGCCUACCUUAUGAAAGAAACAAAGUAAGCCAAACAGCCACACACUAACACGACAGGUCGAGGUGUAACUCAUGGGGAGGACUAGAAUGGGCUACAUUAUCUAAUUCAGAUAACACGGAUAAACUAUGAAACAAGAAACUAAAGGCGGAUUUAGCAGUACACUAUGAACAAUAAUACCUAGUCGAAAUUAGCGCAAUGGGGUGCGUACACACCGCCCGUCAUCCCUGUCAACUUGACCAAAACAUUCAUAAACACAAACACUAAACCUAAAGCAGGGCAAGUCGUAACACGGUAAGCGUACUGGAAAGUGCGCUUAGAAA
rnacentral:rRNA from 1 species